rnacentral:rRNA from 1 species
UCCAGACUCCUACGGGAGGCAGCAGUGGGGAAUAUUGCACAAUGGGGGAAACCCUGAUGCAGCGACGCCGCGUGAGUGAAGAAGUAUUUCGGUAUGUAAAGCUCUAUCAGCAGGAACGAGACAAGACGGUACCUGACUAAGAAGCCCCGGCUAACUACGUGCCAGCAGCCGCGGUAAUACGUAGGGGGCAAGCGUUAUCCGGAAUCACUGGGUGUAAAGGGAGCGUAGACGGCUGUGCAAGCCUGAAGUGAAAGGCGGGGGCCCAACCCCUGGACUGCUCUGGAAACUGUGUAACUUGAGUGCAGGAGAGGUAAGCGGAAUUCCUAGUGUAGCGGUGAAAUGCGUAGAUAUUAGGAGGAACACCAGUGGCGAAGGCGGCUUACUGGACUGUAACUGACGUUGAGGCUCGAAAGCGUGGGGAGCAAACAGGAUUAGAUACCCCUGUAU